AGGAUCCUAAACCUUUAGGCCAAGAAAAAACAAAACAUGCAAAGAAUAAACCAAGAACAAAAAAAAAAAAGAUAGUUUAGUCACCUUGAGAAACAGGGAGAGAUUUGUGGAAACGGGUCAUUGAGUGAGGAGGAGGAAGAGGAAGUAAAGGAGGAGGAGGAAGAGGAAGAAGAGGAGGAGGAGGAGGAAGAGAGUUGUGAAAUUGAGAGUAGAAGUAGCAGUAGUAAUAGUAGUAGUAGCU
rnacentral:lncRNA from 1 species